UCGUUUAACAAUUUUUUUAAA
rnacentral:piRNA from 1 species